rnacentral:tRNA from 1 species
GUCGGAGUGAUGGAAUUGGCAUACAUAUCGGCUUCAAGUACCGAGUUUUGUGGGUUCAAGUCCCACCUCCGACA